GAGGCAGCAGUGGGGAAUAUUGCACAAUGGGGGAAACCCUGAUGCAGCGACGCCGCGUGAGCGAAGAAGUAUUUCGGUAUGUAAAGCUCUAUCAGCAGGGAAGAAAUGACGGUACCUGACUAAGAAGCACCGGCAAAUACGUGCCAGCAGCCGCGGUAAUACGUAUGGUGCAAGCGUUAUCCGGAUUUACUGGGUGUAAAGGGAGCGCAGGCGGUGCGGCAAGUCUGAUGUGAAAGCCCGGGGCUCAACCCCGGUACUGCAUUGGAAACUGUCGUACUAGAGUGUCGGAGGGGUAAGUGGAAUUCCUAGUGUAGCGGUGAAAUGCGUAGAUAUUAGGAGGAA
rnacentral:rRNA from 1 species